UUUUAGGCCAAUGGGGAAUCUUCAUUAGGGACAAAGCCGAGGAGAGAAAACAACCAUCCGGAAAUGGAAAAUACCAAAGAAACAAAACAGAGCAGCAUACAAAAAUUAGAAAAACGUGGGAAAAUGGGUCUCGCCCAGAAGCCAAGACGGGGGAGAAAAAGCAGAGCACAACACGAAAGCGGGGCUAUGGUCCAAUCUGCUAUCCUCACCCAUCUCAAGUACACAUAGUUUAAGAGGGGCAGGGGAGACCAUCUUUGGGAAUAGAGAGGAUGGGGGCGUUAUGAUCCAAACAUCUGAACGCAUCCCUCUUUUACAAUGCCAAGCAACCCAAUCGGUUGCAAAAUUCGCUUGACGAGGAAUCCACCACCAGCUAAUCCAAUGAAAGCGAUGAGUGAGAUUCCGAAUUUCGAUUAAUAGGGGAAAGAUGGUCCAAUGUCCCUUCUUGAAGUCACCCUUGAUGCCUCUAAUGAGCUCCUGCGAAUCCGAUUCACAGGCCACAUCUUGGAAAUUGUUACCGAUCGCUGAACGGACAGCAAGCAGAGCUGCCUUAGCUUCAGUUUGGAGAGCAAAAGAAGACAAACAAGGUUUGGAUGCGCCCGCAAUAAUAGAGCCGCUGGAGGUACGAAAAACAACUUCCAAAAGUCACCACACAUCUGGUGGGAACUCUGACAAUUGCCCCUACAGUGAUCAAGUAUUAAGCAUUCUUGUCUCGCUUUGUCAGCGCCCUCCUACAACUAUUAAGAGAAGCAUGGCGAUUAUAGAACGAAGGAAGCCCAUUGGAAGUGAUUGAUAAAGGUAUAGGAGAUUCGCCUUCUCUAUCGUACGUCUUACAUUACAUUCUCAUUGGUAAUAUCAUUGUUAACCCAACAAUAAUAACCAAAUGGCUACUACCCUUUGUAGUUGGGAACUAAUGGUGCAUUGGAUUAGCCUAAUUAAUCUGGUUUCUUUAUCGAAAGGGAAUAAUAUGAAGCAGGUUCAUCUUCAGAUAAUCAAACAUUUUGUACCAACAAAUUAUCCAUUACUCGUUUGGAGGCUCGAUAAGGAUCGUUUUAUUUGUUGUAAAUUAGUUCAUACAGUACUAGAAUUCUGGGCAAAGCACACUGUUUUUGUAAAUUGUGGCCUUUGGCAUUUAUACACAACUAGCAUAUACUGCUUAUUUAGCUAUUGAUCUCAGACUACAAUGCAAAAUACCCUUUUGUCAACAAAGCAGCAGAGGUAUGU